ensembl:lncRNA
GUCUAAAAGCUACAGCUUCUGGGAGCAAGUAGGCUUGUGGCAGUCAAGCACAGCCUUAGCUUGUUUGCAUUAGCAGCCAUCAGCUGUGAGGUGAUGGCUUAAGGAAAUGGAUAGGUACUGAGACCAGGGUUAUAAAGAAGCAUAUGGUGCUUUGCAGCUAUGGAUUAUCUGUUGUUGUGUUGGGGCACUGAGACCUUCCAGAAGCGUCUGUGAUUCUUCAUAGCAUGCACUCAAAGGCAACUGUCCAGGAAAGGCUCCACAGUCUGCAGCAGCACAGGGGGAGAAAGUCUGGUGGUGAUGGAAUGGACCACAAGAAAACACAACCACCACAGUGCUCAGCACCAGGCUGGCACCUAUGCUCGGUGCCAGACCUCUGGCCAGCACAGGGCUUUGGCUUUAUUGGCUUUUCCAGCCCAUGCAUGGCUCAUCUCGCCAUUACUGAUCUGCCUGCAGGAACAAGGACGUGUCACCAGCACAGCAGCUCUGACUCAGGUCCGUGGGGAGCGAAGUGAUGCUCAUGCUCCCCGUAGCAGCUCCUCCAGCCUGCUCGCUCCAAUAAUAGCCUCCGUGUGUGAAAUUUCACCUGACCUGAACUUUCCUGAGUUUAUCCAGCCUUCACCCUGACAGUUCAGAGCAGAACUGUUUUUGUGCCUCGCAACCCAGACACCAAAUUGGAGCUGAAGUGACGUUUAUUGUUUCAACAGUGUUAUUAUAUGAAGAUUGAGCUCAUUACAAACAUGACCUGUUUUUGAGCCAGGACACAUAUUAAUUUGGAUAAAAUACCAGCUGUGUCCUCUCUCCAUAUGGCCUUAUCGGAAAACAAACUGGGUUAAGUUUCAUUCCAAAGAAUGAAAAUAUAAUUGAAUACUUGCCUCGUUUGAGGAAACUCAAAUAAUCAUUAUCGUCACGUCUCCGCUAAUCGCAGCAGAGAGGGGGCAGAGGUGUUUAUUUCUGUGUGCAUCUAAAAAUAAACCAAGGCACAAUUCCUGUGGGGGGAAACAGAGGGCAGCACGGGGCAGACUUUCCUCCAGCUCUGGGAGAAGAAGGUCGUCCCCCAACCUAUGGACCAGAGGUGCAUAUUGAGGUUUUGCUGUGUUUUUGUGGUGAUUUUUGCAUUUGUUUUGUGGUAUUCUUUUUUUUUCCCCCAGAGGAGACAGGGGUUAUCUCUGAAAAGGCAUAGAUGUGGAUAUGUGGAGGUCUUUUCUCCUCCCCAUCAGCACUCUCAGUGUUGUAAUUAAGGGUUGGGGGCAAGCGCUGCAUCCCACCACUGCAUGUUGGCCUCAGACAUCCCCAUCAACAACCCAGACAGACAAACUUAGGAAUAGG